GGUACGUGUAUAUUUUAAAACUAAUUGUUGUGUCAGCGAUCGGUUUUAUAAUAGCUUCCAAAUUAAGCUGUGUAUGAUGACUAUCACCUGUUUGUUAAUUAGCGAGUAACGUUAACGUUAUACCAUAAGUUGUUUCGCGUGCGUUUUGGUUGGGCAAAUGGAUUUCUAAAGGGGUUAACUGAUGUUUUAAGUCUAAUUUAAGUUUUUCACAAGUAAUUUUUUCUAAAUAUUUUUGAUAAUGGCUGAUGCCACGUCAGGUUAUGUUUAACCAAUUUGAAACCUGUUAUACAUUAUUUUAGUUGUACUGACUAAUGUUGUAAUGACAGCUCCGCCAUUAAUUCUAUUGCUUGUAUUUGUACAACAUUAUUGAACUUGCCUACUAGGAGCGCUCCGAUGUGUGAUUUUCGGAUGCCUCUCUUGUCUCCCCUCCCGCACCAGUUCAACUGUCGGGCGACGUCAGUGGAGAACACCUUGGAGCAAAUCCUCCAUACAGUUUUCUUCAUGCUCGGCCCGCCACUGAUGGAUAAUCUGUUCACCUUCAACAGCCUAUCUAGGUCUGCAGUAGAUGCUAGAGGAAAGACACCACCCUCUUCCUCUUCAGCCAUCUGCAUUUGGGGUACAACACGCCUGUUCCCCACUAGAGACUGGACCAGUAAAGUCAGAUGGUUGAUCUUCAUGUCCAUUUUCUCUAGUGUUUCCAGAAUUGUCCUUUCUACAGCUGCAAUACAUAAGAUAAUUUAACUUGUACUCAAGACUGGAUUUUCCUGUCUCCCACCAGAAGUACCUUGUUUUCUGGUUUGCUAAAGAGCCUCACUGGAGCUCAAAAUGGAGUUGCCAGGCCUUCAGGCUGACAACAGAAGGUCUGAACCCCUUUGAUUGGCCAAGGACUACCAGGUGGAUGAGCACUCCAGCCGUCACCAUGAUGGUCUGCCUGAG